CCUGGGUGCGGAAAAGGAGAGGGCGCCGGCGCGAGGCAGUAAGCGGGAACUACCAGUGCAGGACGGCGCAGGGUUGAAGAGGCGCCGUCCCGCUCCGCUGCGCCAGGACGCUUCCGUAGAGGCUAGAGCUGCUUCCCGGAAAGUAACACAGCCGUCGCUUCUGCCAGCGCUGUGUGUGUGACUGAGACAGCGCGCUUUGGAAAUGGAGAGGAGGGGGCCCUGACUGACACAGCAGAUCAACACUAAAACAAUGUCAGCUGAGGAGUACCGCCAAUUCUGGUCAGGAUUCAUUGAUCUGUACCGUCAGAACGAGUGCCUGUGGCGUGUCAGAAGCCCGGACUAUGCCAACAGAAUCAAGCGGAAUCGGGCAUAUCAGCAGCUUAUUGAGUACAGUAGAGGCAGAAACUCUGAUGUCGAUGUGAAUUGGGUGAAGAAAAAAAUGUAAAAUUUCCGAACAGUGUUCGUGAAGGAACGCAAGAAGGUGCAAGAUUCACAGCGAUCCGGAGCCGGGACUGAUGAGGACUAUAAACCGACGCUCUGGUACUAUGACCAAAUUCAGUUCAUUAUAGAGCAAGAGGCGCGGGUAAGGUCACGGGACGCUCUAGAUCCAGAGUCUCCAGUUCUUGUCGAAGAGGAGGCCCAGGAGAGUCUGGAUCUGGAUGCUACCCCGGAGCUGGAGGUGGAGCCUACCACAGGCCAAGGGGCAGAAGUGGAGGAGCCGGUAGCGGAGCCGGUGGCACCGCCACAGGCGCGCCCAGGAAGACCGAGGCGCACGGCAAGGAGGACCGCUUCUGCCCCCUAUAGCAACCCCUCUGUCUCCCAGCAGUUUUUUCACCGCGCUGAGGAGGUUUUGCAUAGGCCCCCGGAUGCCGAACAACAAUUUGGCAAUUUUAUUGCAUCGGAGAUGCGCCUGAUGACGGAUGACCAAAAAUUCAUCCUCCAACGGUUAGUCAAUGAGGCUGUCUCACACGGCUGGCGCCAAACACUGGUGCCGGCGUGUGAGAUAGUGCCAACUGACCCUUGGUAUCACCCAAAUUUGGCCCGUCCCCCCUUCCCAUGGUACAGCUUAUGAAUCCUGGCCAGAGUUGGCG